CCCCCCCCCCCCCCCUUCCUCCUUUUUCUCUGUGCUCAGAGGCCUACUGCUGUAGCUGUGAUUCUAAGUUAAUGUUGACCACUGUGCUGUGCAGCUCUGCGCUGACCUCAAUAGAAGCAGCAGAACUUUUCUCAAGUAUGAUCUAGCGCUGAGGUUUACUUCUCUACUCCAUGACAUGAAAAAUAUAGGUCACCUUCACCUCUGGAAACUAACACCAACAUACAAAUUAUUUUCCCUACAUUGGGUCAGAUUAUCUUACAAGAAAAUAAGAGAAGACAUUUGUGUAGUAUCAUUGCAUGUUCAAGGGAAACAUAUCUGUGCCAGUGCUGCAGCUUCUGUCCCAAAGUGUUGUUUGGUCAGGUUAUGUACAUUGUAUAUUUAUUGAACUCAAAUGUUUGGGUACACCAUUACGUUGGUUGUGAGGGUACAGAUGGCUUGGCUGCAAUUAGGUAAUUGUUUUAAUUGUGUACAAACUAUAAAUACAAAUAUACACACAGAUAUAUAUUUAUAAAUAUAUAUAUAUCUAAUCUCAAUAUUUAGUGUGAGGCAUGUAUAGUGGCAUGUGUGUGGUACUGGGGAAGGGCAUUUUAUGUGUGUGUGUGUGUAACAUGAGCCAGUGUUACAGAUGUGAGGUCUAAUUGAUAACCUCAGUUGUGCUAAACUUACCAUCUUAAAUUACUCAGGGAGCUGACCUUGUCCUCUAAUGGGGAAGGGUCAUUUGGUUAGUGCAACCACAGGGAUUUCACAUUUGAGCUCACAGCAACCAGUGUGUGUUUGUAGAAAACAUUUUGAAGUUGUGGUCUUCCACAGUGUUGUGAGGUGUCCACUUGGAAAGUUAUUUGUCUUGAGAAUUUAGCCGUCCUGGUUCUCCAGCUAGAUAAUUAGAUAUUUAUUCUUAGUGUUCAAUAGCCUAUCCUUUAGACUGACAAACAGUUCAUUAAAUUAUGAGAGCAAUGGUUUGUUACAUGCAAUACCUAAUUGACUGAAAUGAGUUUAUAAUGCAAUAAACUGGAUUGUUAGUUCAUGUUCUUUCACUUAGAUCCAUGUUUAAAGAUCAAGAAAUGUUAGUAACACUUGUGUUCAAAACUAAAAGCUAAUUGCUCUGCAACAUUAUUUCUUGUUUGUAGUUCAGAAAAAAUCUUGUUACAUGUUAGUUCUGGAGUGCUGGUCACUCCAAUUAAAGUGUCAGCCAAAAAGGCAAUUCUUAUGACAAGGUUGGAUGGUUGAUGAGGUGUGUGUGAACAUAGUUUGAUUGCUUGCGUGUGAGUGGACAAGGUUGUGUAUAAUUUAUUGUUCCAUGGUUUUGUGCAGAAGUUGAUGUACAGAAAUUAUUUUUGUAAUUUUGUUCAGUUUUAGUUGGAACAAAACAUGAUCUAUAUAUAUAUAGGAAACUGUCAUGAAGUUUUAAAACAAUUAAAUUAAUGUCUAAAUGUUUCCUG